GCUGCCAAAGCCCAAGGGGUGCCUGGUCUAAGAUCACCCAGAAUGUGGCCAGGACUCAGCCUUUGCCUGUGGGGCCCUCCAGCCCUCCUCACUAUGGAGCAUCCUCAGUGCAUACCUGGGACACAGAAGCAAAGGCCCGCACCGGCCUUCACCCACCGAGCCAAGCAGCUGGACUGUCACACUGAUGGGCACAAAAGCAGAUGAUUCAGUGAGAAGUCUGCAUCCUCUAAGAGCGUGCUAACCGGACCUUGCUGGCACCCUGACCUUGGAUGUCCAGCCUCCAAAACUGCAAUGGCGAGCCGUUGGGCAUCUACAGAGGACAGGGCUGUGUUCAGAGCAGCACCUGAGGAAGGUGUAGUGGGCGGCCAAGUUUCAGAAGAAUGGAGGAGAAAAGAAUCCAGGUAGCACCAAUCUGCUUGCCUAAGGCUGUCCUCCCUCCCUCCCGCGGGCGAAGAGAGUUCUCCUUUCGGCAAACUCCCUCUAUAACUUGGCAUUCUCAGGCCUCUACAUUUCUGCCAACCACAUGGAUGUGAAUCAACAUUUCAUUGUAAUAUUAACUUGCGUUUCCCUGGUACUUCCCUUGAUGAGACUAAUAGCCCAACAGCAGACCAGAAAGAAAUCUCACCUGGACUUCCGCUAGGUGACUGCCUGGAGCGGCAGGAAAACCGGCUGCCGGUGACCCCACCCCCACUGCCCCCGGGAGGUCUCCAGUCAGGGAGGCACUGACCUUGGGCACAGGACAUUCCCAAAGAAAUUGUGUCAACAAGCCAAGCCUCAUCAGAACCUUCCAUCCUAACCCUACGAAAGCCCGAACACCUGCGUUUGUGAAACUGGAGUAUAAACCUUUACCUCUGGUUAUUCAGUGAGUUACCCCUUAGUCCUUGUGCCCACACUCAGUAUGGUACAAACCUCACCUUCUGUUAAUCUGUCUAUUGUUAGUUAAUUCACAUGCCCCCACCCCCACCCUCACCCCUCAAACCUAAGUUGGUAGAAGAACCGUUUUUUCCUCCCAACACUCUCAAAUCAAAGAAUCCCCAGGGACCGUCAAGUGGGAAGUUCUGGGGCCCUUGCAACUGAGUUUUCAGUCUGAACCAACACCUAGUAGGAGAGAUGCCUCAGAAAUUCACAGUCCCCUCACCCCAGGGAUCCACAGAAACAUAACUGCUGGACCUCAGGACAUAGGGAGGCAGGAUGGUAAGAAGCUAUAAAAAUUCCCUGGCAAGUGGAAUGGGGAACUGAGACAGAUAGUGGGUUCCAAUGGGCCCCACCCAGCACCAGGACUCACCUGUCUCCUUCUCCCUGCAUGACCACUUCCUUAACCUCUGGCCCUGAGAACAAUGAGGUUCUGACCAGCAUCAAAUAAAGCUUCUGAAGCAAAGCUUCCGGUCCGUUGACCACAGAGACAGAGUUUUGAUCAAACUAGAACAUCUAGGCCUCAAUUGUGUUUCAGCUUGAGGCCCAGAAUAGCAGCAAAACCAGACAAAGUGAACAGGCAAAACCAACUUGUAUCAGGACCUACCCUAGUACCAACCAAUCAGCAGAGAUCAUGACGCUGACUCUAUACACUUGUUCAUUUUGAUGAAUCAUCAUAUUAAAGGACACACCUGGAAAGCUGAUGAAUAUUCUAUUAAGAUCCUCCCCUAAAACCUCCCUUAAAAUUCCUGCCUUUA